UAACGUUAGGGGGGCAAAGCGGUUUGUCCCGGAUUUAAUUGGGGCGUUAAAAGAGCGGUGUAAGGCGGCUAGGUAGGGUCCUUGUUGAAACAUCGAGGCUCAAACCUCGAGGACGCCGACUGGGAAAACCAUCUAGCUAGAGUCCGGAAGAGGAGAGUGGAAUUCCUGGAUGUGAGCGGUAGAAAUGCGCAGAUAUACAGGAGGAACACCGGUGGCGAAGGCGGUUCUCUGGGCAUGGUCCUGACGUGAGGAGCGAAAGUGUGGGGAGCGA
rnacentral:rRNA from 1 species